CCCUUAGAUGUCCGGGGCCGCACGCGCGCUACACUGAAGGAAUCAGCGUGGCUUUCUCCCUGACCCGAAAGGGUUGGGAAACCCGUUGAAUCUCCUUCGUGAUAGGGAUUGGGGCUUGAAAUUGUUCCCCAUGAACGAGGAAUUCCCAGUAAGCGCGAGUCAUAAGCUCGCGUUGAUUACGUCCCUGCCCUUUGUACACACCGCCCGUCGCUACUACCGAUUGAAUGGUUUAGUGAGAUCUCUGGAUUGACGCUGGCUAGGGGGCGACCCUUGGCCAGACUGCUCGAGAAACUGCUCAAACUUGAUCAUUUAGAGGAAGUAAAAGUCGUAACA
rnacentral:rRNA from 1 species